GAUGAACGCUAGCGGCAGGCCUAAUACAUGCAAGUCGAGGGGUAACAGGUGUAGCAAUACAUGCUGACGACCGGCGCACGGGUGCGUAACACGUAUAUAAUCUACCUGAAACUGGAGGAUAGCCCGAAGAAAUUCGGAUUAAUACUCCAUAACAUUGCGAGAUGGCAUCAUUUUGCAAUUAAAGCUCCGGCGGUUUCGGAUGAGUAUGCGUUCGAUUAGCUAGUUGGUGAGGUAACGGCUCACCAAGGCGACGAUCGAUAGGGGUACUGAGA
rnacentral:rRNA from 1 species